UACAGAGGUCUCAAGCGUUGCUCGGAAUCACUGGGCGUAAAGGGUGCGUAGGCGGGUCUUUUAAGUCAGGGGUGAAAUCCUGGAGCUCAACUCCAGAACUGCCUUUGAUACUGGCGAUCUUGAGUUCGGGAGAGGUGAGUGGAACUGCGAGUGUAGAGGUGAAAUUCGUAGAUAUUCGCAAGAACACCAGUGGCGAAGGCGGCUCACUGGCCCGAUACUGACGCUGAGGUGCGAAAGCGUGGGGAGCGAACAGG
rnacentral:rRNA from 1 species